GCCGACCUAGCUCAACGGUAGAGCACGGCUUUCGUAAAGCCGAGGUUAAGGGUUCAAAUCCCUUGGUCGGCU
rnacentral:tRNA from 1 species